GAGAAGAAGCAGCAAAGAAGGGAUGAGUUAGGGGAACCACAGAGUGACUGCCUGAUUUGCACAAUGGAUUCUUGUCCCUCUUUCUCCCCAGGGAGCUAAGGAUUAUUUAAUUCUACUUUUCACAUGUUUAAGAAGUAGUUUUACUUUUAAAGUAUUAUGAUCUCCUCUCUCUUCCCUAGGGUUCGAUGUAAAUAGCAAACUUGAAAAGUCUGAGUGAGCUGAGGACUAUGGAAUAAUAGAUGUGGUUUGGAAAAUGGAGAGUAAUUGACUUGAAGGGUGAAAAGACUGAAGCUGUAAUUUGUGAUGCAUAGAGUCAUAGAAUGGCUUGGGUUGGAAAGGACCUUAAGGAUCACCUAGUUCCAACCCCCCUGCCAUGGGCAAGGACACCACUCACUAGAUCAGGGACUCAUCUAACCUGGCUGUGAACACCUCCAGGGUUGGGACAAACAAAUUAGGAGGGCGCAGUUUUAAAUGGUCUUGAAGAAAAGGACAAGGACUCUUAUUUUGCUUCAGAGAAAGAAGGAAAUCCAGUAGAAGGAAAACCAAUCUGAUCAGAACUUUUUGUUAGUGGUUUUGCUUUCUGUGAACCAGAAUUCCCUAAUAUUGGAAAGUGGUAGGCAGAGAUUAUUAUGGGCACAGCCAUAGGUGAUAUACAGGACACAGCUGCAAACAGCUCUAGAGACUCUUUUUUUCUGCUCGACUAUUCCAGCAGAUGACUACUGUACUUUCAGAGAGGGAGAGUAAAAGCAAUCUGUUUUCAAAAGCCAGACAGUCAGCCAGUGCUUGCCUGGUCUGAGUGAGAGGGAAUGGACAACCCACAGAUUUGUCUGUGGGUUUGAAUGUAAGAGGAACAGAAUAUCUGGUCUGGGGGAGGCAUAUACAGAUGUGAAAAGGACAGUAAGAGACUGACGUCCUUCUUACCAGACAAAUCUUCACUGAUUGAGAAAUUUGACACAUGGCUUUUAAACAAUAUUCCAUUCACACUACAGGGUCUAUCCCACUGCAUGCUAUGUUUCAAACAAUCUGGUCCACUGAAGGCAAGGGGAUCUUUCAGCAUUUACAGGGGCGAAAAACACUCAACACAUGUUAGUGGUGAGUAUAGAAUGUAAACUUUUGUGCUUAUAGGAUGUGGUCUGGCUCAUAUAAAACACCAACAUAUAAGAAAGUCACAUGAAAAGCAAAGGUGAGGGACAGGAAGGACCUGUUCUUUUGGUGGCACUCUCAGGUUGUAGCAGCAGGUUGAGAGAAGUGAUUAUUUCCCUCUACAUGUCACUUGUGAGACUGUAGCUGUAGUUCUGGGACCAGUUUUGGGCUCCCUCCAUUGCAGGAAAGACAUGAACUUACUAAAGCAAGUCCACUGUAGGUCCACCAAGCUGGUCAGGGACUGGAUCAAAGAGUGUGCAAGGAGAAACUAAGGGAAACACAUUGUUCAUCCUAAAGAAGAAAGGUUCAGGAGUGUUUGACUGAAGUCUACAACUAGUUAAAAGAUGAAUGGAAAGCAGAUGGAGCCAGAAUCUCUCUGGAUAUGCACAGUGACAAUGAGAGCAACAGUCAGGUUGAAACAAAUAAUCAAAUUUACAACACACAUGAAAAACUGUAGUAUGAAAAGCAC
rnacentral:lncRNA from 1 species